GCCAGGGUGGCGGAGCGGCUAACGCGAUCGCCUGCAGAGCGAUUCUAUUCCGGUUCGAAUCCGGACCCUGGCU
rnacentral:tRNA from 4 species